CCCGUACUUAAUCCUAUUGAUUUUUAAUCACUGGUAAACCAAACCAUGACACGGUAAUUAACAACUUGCAGUUAUUUUCCAUUAACAGUUUUAAUCAAUUUUAAAAAGUAAAUUAUCACUGAUAUUAGAUAUAUUUAUUAUAGAUGUAAUCAAAAGGCUUGUAUCUUCUUUCAAUAAAAAACACGUGUUAUGUUACAAUGUUUAUCGCUAGUCAACACUAUGCUAGAACUGCAUAACAUAACCGGAAAUAAACAUCCGACUCAAUACACAUUUCUCGGGAUUAUUCUUCGUUGAAUUCUUAAAUUCGUGGUUCGCUGUUACCCACGAAAUCCACGAAAAUUAGUAUACCACGAAUAAAAAUGAAUCCACAGUAA
rnacentral:lncRNA from 1 species